AGUGAACGCUGGCGGCAGGCCUAACACAUGCAAGUCGAACGGCAGCACAGGGGAGCUUGCUCCCUGGGUGGCGAGUGGCGGACGGGUGAGGAAUACAUCGGAAUCUACCCUGUCGUGGGGGAUAACGUAGGGAAACUUACGCUAAUACCGCAUACGACCUCCGGGUGAAAGCAGGGGAUCGCAAGACCUUGCGCGAUUGGAUGAGCCGAUGUCCGAUUAGCUAGUUGGCGGGGUAAAGGCCCACCAAGGCGACGAUCGGUAGCUGGUCUGAGAGGAUGAUCAGCCACACCGGAACUGAGACACGGUCCAGACUCCUACGGGAGGCAGCAGUGGGGAAUAUUGGACAAUGGGCGAAAGCCUGAUCCAGCCAUGCCGCGUGGGUGAAGAAGGCCUUCGGGUUGUAAAGCCCUUUUGUUGGGAAAGAAAACUUUCCGGUUAAUACCCGGAGAGAAUGACGGUACCCAAAGAAUAAGCACCGGCUAACUUCGUG
rnacentral:rRNA from 1 species